AAGAUGGCGACCGGCGCACGGGUGAGUAACACGUAUCCAACCUGCCGAUAACUCGGGGAUAGCCUUUCGAAAGAAAGAUUAAUACCCGAUGGCAUAGUUCUUCCGCAUGGUAGAACUAUUAAAGAAUUUCGGUCAUCGAUGGGGAUGCGUUCCAUUAGGUUAUUGGCGGGGUAACGGCCCACCAAGCCUUCGAUGGAUAGGGGUUCUGAGAGGAAGGUCCCCCACAUUGGAACUGAGACACGGUCCAGACUCCUACGGGAGGCAGCAUG
rnacentral:rRNA from 1 species